rnacentral:rRNA from 1 species
AUUGAACGCUGGCGGCAUGCCUAACACAUGCAAGUCGAGCGCCCCGCAAGGGAGCGGCAGACGGGUGAGUAACGCGUGGGUAUCUACCGUACCCUACGGAACAACAGUUGGAAACGACUGCUAAUACCGUAUACGCCCUACGGGGAAAGAUUUAUCGGGGUAUGGUGAGCCCGCGUUGGAUUAGCUAGUUGGUGGGGUAA